rnacentral:tRNA from 1 species
GUCGCCAUAGUGUAAUGGUAGCAUACGGGACUGUGGAUCCUUUGGUCUGGGUUCGAAUCCCAGUGGCGACC